AGAUACCCGGGUAGUCCUAGGCGUAAAUGAUGCGAGUUAAGUNUGGGGGCAUCUACGAGAUGGCCCUGUGCUGUAGGGUAGCCGUUAAACUCGCUGCCUGGGGAGUACGGUCGCAAGGCUGAAAUUUAAAGGAAUUGGCGGGGGAGCACCACAAGAGGUGGAGGCUGCGGUUCAAUUGGACUCAACGCCGGAAAACUCAUCGGGAGCGACAGCAGUAUGAUUGCCAGGUUGAUGACCUUGCUUGACAAGCUG
rnacentral:rRNA from 1 species